CAGACGUUUACGGACCCGGAAGUGGCGAGAAGCCGAGGGAAGGUCACGCAGCUGACCGAUUGACCUCUAAAGACUUGCCUUUCCUGAAGGAAAAGUCCAGAAGAGAAGGAAGAGCAAAAAAAGGAGUCAGGAAUGGCUGUUUCUCAGUUGACCUUCGAGGACGUGGCCAUCGAGUUCUCCCAGGAGGAGUGGGAGUGCCUGGACCCUGCUCAGAGGGCCUUGUACAGGGACGUGAUGCUGGAGACCUGCAGGAACCUGCUGUCCCUGGAUAUGUCAGAAGUACAUGUGAUCAAGAAAUUACAACUAAAAGCAAGCACUGAUAGAGGAGAACUAUUCCAAACAGCGAUGUUGGCAGGACAUGAAAGGAAUAAAAUAAAACACUUUUACCUCAGGAGCAUCCGAGAAAAUACAUAUGACUUUGAGUCACAGCAGACAGAUGAGGCAGGAAAUUACAACGCAAUGAGUGUAACCCAUAAGAAAAACCUUACUGAUAAGAGAGAUCAACAUGAAAGUAUUGCAGGAAUCAAGCCUGUGGAUAAAGGGCCUGCAUUAAGCUCUCUGGACAACCUGCAUAUUUUUAAAAGUGAGGAGAAAAUUGAUGAGUUUAAUCAAGCCAACAAGAGUAUCAAUAAUUGUGCCUCAUUUUUACCACUUCCAGGAAUUUCUUCUAGUAUCCAGACCAACAUUCGUAACAUACGUGGCAAUGGUUUUAUGCAUCCUUUAAUACUAACACAAGACCAGAAAGCACGCAGAGAAAGACCUUAUAAAUGUAAUCAGUGUGGCAAAGCCUUUGUUCAGGGAUCAUACCUCAGUAGACACCAGAUCGUCCACACAGGAGAGAAAUUACAUAAAUGUGAUGUAUGUGAAAAAGUCUUUAGUCGAAAUUCCUACCUUGCAGUUCAUCAGAGAAUUCAUACCGGAGAGAAACCUUACAAAUGUAAUGAGUGUGGAAAGGCCUUUAGGCAAAAAGGAACCCUUGGAGGUCAUCAGAGAAUUCAUACUGGAGAGAAACCUUACAAAUGUAACGAGUGUGGGAAAACCUUUAAUCAUGGCUCCCACCUCACGAAACAUCAGAGAAUGCAUACAGGAGCAAAACCAUAUCAGUGUGAUGUAUGUGGGAAAGUCUUUAGUCGAAAUUCAUCCCUUGCAGUUCAUCAGAGAAUUCACACUGGAGAGAAGCCUUAUAGAUGUAUUGCAUGUGGCAAAACCUUUCACGAGGGCUCAAGCCUCAGGAGUCAUCAGUUAAUCCAUACAGGAGAAAAAUUACAUAAAUGUGUUGUAUGUGGCAGAGUCUUUAGUCAUCGUUCAAACUUUACAAGACAUCAGAGAAUUCAUACUGGAGAGAAACCUUACAAAUGUAAUGAGUGUGGCAAGGUCUUUCGUCAAAAAGCAACCCUUGUAAGUCAUCAGAGAAUUCAUACUUAGGAGAAACCUUUCAAAAGGAAAGGGUGUUGAAAAGCCUUUACUCAGAUCUCAAUCCUCACUACACAUCAGGAAAUAAAUACAAAGGGGAAACCAUAUUAAUGUGACGUAUGUGGGAAGGUCUUCAUUCAAAAUUGGUACAUUAAGUUUAUGCGAGAUUUAUCCUGGGGAGAAAUGGUGGACAUGUCAUGAGUGUGGCAAAGCCUCACCAUCAGAUAAUCCAUAAUGGACAGAAAUUGUAGAAAUGUAACGAACGUCUCAGUGUCUUCAGUCAAAAUUCAUACCUCAGGGUCCACCAACAACUUUGUAAAUCAAUUGGAGUUCAAAAAAAAGGAAUCCACCAGGGAAUUCAUACUGGAAAGAAAGUUUACAAAUGUAGAAGUGUUCCUGGAUCCACCACGGCCCCACAGCAACGGCUUGGAGAACCGCGUUCCCAACCACUGAAUUGGUGUUGA